UGUGACGCACGAUUAUCUUCCCUCUGCCGACUCAUUGGCUGCUGGGUCCGCCCGUCAGUGAGCUCAGGUUCAGGGCUAUGCCAUCAGGGCAGAUUAUGAAGCAGAUCUUGUCUCUAGUGCUCUCCUCCACUUGUCUCAAUGGCUGAACACAGGCUCUCCACGCUUCUCUUGCUGUGGCUCUUUGUGUGCAUGCAGCGGGCAUGGCCGUUUGAUCAAGUGCCUGAAAUCCUGGACAGGAGCUUGGAGGUCCCACCAUUUCAAGGUAUCAGAAUCAGACCAGAUGGAGUAGGCAUUGAAAGUUCAAGUGUCUCACACGAGGAGAGUUUUUCGCCUGCAGCUGAAAACCCACUCCGAAAAAUGUUGCAGCCCUAUGGAUGGCAUUUGCACACUCAGCCCAGAACUAAAAGGAAGUUACUUCAGUCUACUAGCUCAGGGCCAUACUCUCCUUUGAGUGUAGCUUAUAAUGGCAAGAUAUGCAUCCUGUUCAAGGCCAAGAGGCUGGCUAUUCGCUACAGAAACAACACUUUUCUGGACUUAACAGAAAGGGUAUUUGGACCCAAUGCCUCUGUAGACACCAAAGGCUCUGUAUGCACCAAAGAAAAGGCUACGUAUGUCAUUAGAAAACCUCAUUUUUCA
ensembl:lncRNA